AACCCGGUAGCUCAGUUUGGUCAGAGCAUUGUACUUAUAGGGUAAAUCUCUUUGCGAAAUGCAAGGGUCGCGAGUUCGAUCCUCGCUCGGGUUA